rnacentral:rRNA from 1 species
GACGAACCGUGCAAACGUUGUUCGGAAUCACUGGGCUUAAAGGGCGCGUAGGCGGGCGAGCGAGUCCGGGGUGAAAUCUUUCGGCCCAACCGGAAAAGGGCCUCGGAUACCGCUCGCCUAGAGGGGGGCAGGGGCAGACGGAACUUCCGGUGGAGCGGUGAAAUGCGUAGAUAUCGAGAGGAACACCUGCGGCGAAGGCGGGUUGCUGGGCUGAUACUGACGCUGAGGCGCGAAAGCCAGGGGAGCGAACGGG